AUGUGGGAGGGCCUGUAAAAUAUACCCUUGAGCUGAAACCCCUGGUCUUUUUGCCCUCAAGCAUGCCUCACUCCCAUUCUCCUUCGCUGCCAGGCUGCUCUGCUCUCCUUGGCCAAUCCGGGCUUUUCAGCCACGAGUUAUAAAGAUACACCCUCUGUCAUAUUCCCCGUGUGCCUCUAUCACUGCACUGCUUCAGCUACCAGCCGAC